GUCAUUUAUGUGUUUGUCUUCACUAAUGUUUGCAACAUCUCCAAACAUAGUAUCCUCUGUGAAUUUAACUAACCUGCUGUUUACCCUUUCUUCCAGAUCCAGUUUCUGAUCCUACUUCCACAUUUGGGAGUAUGCAAGGGACAAACACAUCUCUUUGCGUAGCUUGACUGGAUAUCCCAAGACUAGGAUGUCAGGUUGGUCGGUCCUUUCCCUCUGUUCCUGCCACUUCCUGAAGCCUGAAUUGGCUUUUUUUGGAGGCAGUGCUACUUCUCUGCCUGACAAGGGUUUGAAAGUAUUCUAGAAGGCCUGUUUGGACCUGGAUUAUUAAAAGAUCUCAGUUUGUUUAAAGACUGUGAGCCUGAAGGUGUUUCUGAUUGGUCUUUUGAUG